CGUUUUCUGCGGUGUGCGCCAGCACACUCUUACAUUUGCCUUGUUCCUACAUACGACCCCGGGUCGGUUUCACAUGGCUGUUGUGCAUGUCCGCCGCGAGCGGAAAGCCUCUAAGGCCAUGGUGCCCUCCCACCUGAUCCAAAGGGAUCAAGGUCGUUUGGUGUGCAGCGGCAUCGCGGUUGACGC
rnacentral:other from 1 species